AUACGGAGGGUGCAAGCGUUACUCGGAAUCACUGGGCGUAAAGCGCGCGCAGGCGGCUAUUUAAGUUGGAUGUGAAAGCCUACGGCUCAACCGUAGAACUGCAUCCAAAACUAUUUAGCUAGAGUGUGGGAGAGGAAGAUGGAAUUAGUUGUGUAGGGGUAAAAUCCGUAGAGAUAACUAGGAAUACCAAAAGCGAAGGCAAUCUUCUGGAACACUACUGACGCUGAGGCGCGAAAGCGUGGGGAGCAAACAGAAGUAGAAACCCUAGUAGUCC
rnacentral:rRNA from 1 species